AUGGCAGGGACGAGCUCCCCCAACUGGCACCUUUGCCUGGCAAUUCUUUGUGCUCCUGGGGGUACUGGGCACAAAGACCCGUGCACCCACGCCUUUGGUGCCGGGACUCUGCAGCACCUCCCGUCAGGAAGGGAGGAGGUUCUGCCCCCGAGAAGCUCUGCUCAGGGCCCCUUCCUGGGAGCCUGUCCUGAGCAAGGAGCCUGCGGGGCGGAGGCCACCAGGUGUCACGGAAGGAGCCAGUGUGCCAACCACUGCUUCACUGCGUCAUGCACUCACUCCCCAAGGCUUCUGCAGGGGCCCUGGGGAGGCCCAGGCCACAGGGCAGGGUCACGCCUUCCAGUAGCUUCCAGUCCGAUGGCGGAGAUAGACAAGGAAACAGAUGAGGCCACGUGGCGUCUUCUCGAGUCAAACCAGGUGAAUUUGCGGGGGACACGCACAUUCAGUCUACAGCAAGCACUUAGACUCAAACCCUCGCCUCCAGCUCCGCUUCUGGGCAAACCCAACCGGACGCGGCAGCCACGUGCGCAAACCCAGACGGCGCUGCGGGGGUCUCCUGGGCGGGCGAGGCCAGGUGGCAGGACGCACAAGCCCGGCCCGGGGUUUGGGCCUUCAGCCCAACCUUCGCCAGCCCUGGGAUCUCAGGAAAGCCUCGAUGAGGGGACGGUGUCCUGCCUCCUCCCGUGAUGAGGUAAGGUAAGCAAUGGGCUAUUUGUCACGUGCCUGGUACCCGACAGGUGCUCAGAUGCUGUGGUUACGAUGCCACAGCCCAAAUCUGCCAACACUUUGCUCAGCGGUUUUAGGCAGGAGCCAGCCAAAGGCUUUCACUCGCCCUCUCCCGGGGGUCAGAUCACCCUGCCCUGCCCGCCUCUCCCGGGAGCCCAUCCCCUGGCCCUGGUGGCACCGGACCCUUCUGGUGGGCAGGUGGAGCA
rnacentral:lncRNA from 1 species